rnacentral:misc_RNA from 1 species
AAAAAACACCCCACGUGAAUGUACUCUUUAUGAGGCUCGCGCUGCCCUCGUGGCGGCUAGCCGAAGGUUUCGCAAGAAGCCGAUGUCAAUUUGAAUCCUUUUUAAACAACGACUGAUCAAAACUGCAGAUAGAAAUGUCUGCAUGCAAUUGAAAU